rnacentral:rRNA from 1 species
AGCUCCAAUAGCGUAUAUUAAAGUUGUUGCAGUUAAAAAGCUCGUAGUUGGAUUUCUGGCGGGAGCGACCGGUCCGCCUCUUUAACGAGGUGUGUACUAGUGUUGCAUCCGGCCAUCCUUGCGGAGAGCGUCUCUGGCAUUAGGUUGUUGGGGUCGGGAUCCGCAUCGUUUACUGUGAAAAAAUUAGAGUGUUCAAAGCAGGCAUUUGCUCUGAAUAGAUUAGCAUGGAAUAAUAAGAUAGGACUUUGGUGCUAUUUUGUUGGUUUGCACACCAAGGUAAUGAUUAAUAGGGAUAGUUGGGGGUAUUCAUAUUUCAUUGUCAGAGGUGAAAUUCUUGGAUUUAUGAAAGAUGAACUUAUGCGAAAGCAUUUACCAAGGAUGUUUUCAUUAAUCAAGAACG